rnacentral:lncRNA from 1 species
CGGAUUUGUUCCUGUGUUGCCCACUCCUGCUGGAUCUUGUCCAGUCGAGGGACAAACGUCCUGAAGAAUGGGAAGAAAGGAGGUUCUGAAGGCACAGAUUCCAAUACCAUGCCAGAGGUUGAGGACACUGGUGCUUGAAGGGAAACUGGCACACUCUGGAGCCCCAAGAAGAGCUGGAGCUGGAGGCAUGCGGCCCACGAAGGGUAGAAGUACCAGCCAUGACCAAGAGCCCUUCACAUCAUCUGGCAAUCCAUCCAGAACCCACUGAAUGGAGGACAGCACAGCGAGGUCUUUCUCAUUUUGUAACUGCAAAAGCUGGAACAAGAGCCAGAGAAGCCAAAGAAGCAGUACAAGUCCAACAGCUUUUAGAAUAACCCUGAGAAAAUGGUUGAAUUUUGACCAGUUUUGCAAUUGGAUACUAUGAGAAGAGACCUUCCCUCCUGCACUGGAUUUCAUCAUCAUACCUGGAGGCCAUUCCUCAUGGGACUUUGGCCAUCUCAUAUCCACCUUUAAGCAUGUUAUUCCCAUUUCAGCUGUGGUAGCUCUGGGUAUCCUUCCCUAGGAGAAAAUAUUAAUCUUUUCUCCCUCUGAGUUCUGGAUUAAACUGUCUUAUCUGAAACUGGGUCACUUUAGGCUAGAAGCACCACUAGACAUUCCUGUUCUCAGAAGUUGCCAAGUUCAUGUCAUAUCUGUUUCAUUGUUAACGGGAUCCACUUCUGCAAGAGGCUGCCUGGCCAGAUCAGUGUGUCUCCUGGUCAGCUCCUUGAUGCCCUUCUCCUCUCCCCUGCCCAAUCCCAGCUGAGACUUGCACUGUGGUGACUCUGUCCCCUCCUGGUGCUUUGACUGGAUGUGUGAGAGAAAGUAUGGUCUGUGGCACUGACAUCUUUGUGUGUUUGGAGGUGACUGGAACACGGAUCCACCCCUGGAGGAAGGUGGCCGUGAAGGAGGCCAGCCUCAGCUCAGCGUUCUACUCUCAUCGCUCUUACUCCCGCCUUUUUAGUGCCUGCCCUACUCCAGGAUAAUUGUGCUUUUCUUUUUUCAGUUAAAUGUUAGCAUUGCUAU